rnacentral:tRNA from 1 species
UCUAAUAUGGCAGAAUAGUGCAAUGGAUUUAAGCUUCAUAUAUAAAGGUAUAACUUUUAUUAGAA